rnacentral:tRNA from 1 species
GAGGGUAUAGCUCAGUUGUAGAGUGCAUGCCUAGCAUGCACAAGGUCCUAGGUUUAAUCCCCAGUACCUCCA